rnacentral:rRNA from 1 species
GACGUAGGGGGCCAGCGUUGUUCGGAAUUACUGGGUGUAAAGGGUUCGUAGGCGGUGCGGCAAGUCGGGAGUGAAAUCUCUGGGCUUAACCCAAAGGCUGCUUCCGAAACUGCUGUGCUUGAGUGUGGGAGAGGCGCGUGGAAUUGCAGGUGUAGCGGUGAAAUGCGUAGAUAUCUGCAGGAACACCCGUGGCGAAAGCGGCGCGCUGGACCACUACUGACGCUGAGUGAACGAAAGCUAGGGGAGCAAACAGG